GACGAUGAAUCUUGACAGAACCCUUCGGGGUGAAGAUAAGAUGGAUUAGCGGCGGACGGGUGAGUAACACGUGAGUAACCUGCCUUAGACAUUGGGAUAGCCUCGGGAAACCGGGAUUAAUACCAAAUGAAAUCACAUAUGCACAUGCAUAAAUGAUCAAAACUCCGGUGGUCUAAGAUGGACUCGCGUCCCAUUAGCGAGUUGGUGAGGUAACGGCCCACCAAGGCGACGAUGGGUAGCCGGCCUGAGAGGGUGAACGGCCACAUUGGAACUGAGAAACGGUCCAAACUCCUACGGGAGGCAGCAGUGGGGAAUAUUGCACAAUGGAGGGAACUCUGAUGCAGCGACGCCGCGUGAACGAUGAAGGCUUUCGAGUCGUAAAGUUCUUUUAUAUGGGAAGAUAAUGACGGUACCAUAAGAAAAAGCCCCGGCUAACUACGUGCCAGCAGCCGCGGUAAUACGUAGGGGGCUAGCGUUGUCCGGAAUCACUGGGCGUAAAGGGUUCGCAGGCGGAAAUGCAAGUCAGAUGUAAAAGGCAGUAGCUUAACUACUGUAAGCAUUUGAAACUGCAUAUCUUGAGAAGAGUAGAGGUAAGUGGAAUUUUUAGUGUAGCGGUGAAAUGCGUAGAUAUUAAAAAGAAUACCGGUGGCGAAGGCGACUUACUGGGCUCAUUCUGACGCUGAGGAACGAAAGCGUGGGUAGCAAACAGGAUUAGAUACCCUGGUAGUCCACGCUGUAAACGAUGAGUGCUAGGUAUCGGAAUAAUUCGGUGCCGCAGUUAACACAUUAAGCACUCCGCCUGGGGAGUACGUGCGCAAGCAUG
rnacentral:rRNA from 1 species